UGCAAGUCGAGCGGCAGCGCGGGGCAACCUGGCGGCGAGCGGCGAACGGGUGAGUAAUAGAUAGGAACGUAUCCGGGAGUGGGGGAUAACUAGCCGAAAGGUUAGCUAAUACCGCAUAUUCUCUACGGAGGAAAGCGGGGGACCUGUAAGGGCCUCGCGCUCGCGGAGUGGCCUAUCUCCGAUUAGCUAGUUGGUGGGGUAAAGGCUUACCAAGGCGACGAUCGGUAGCUGGUCUGAGAGGAUGAUCAGCCACACUGGGACUGAGACACGGCCCAGACUCCUACGGGAGGCAGCAGUGGGGAAUUUUGGACAAUGGGGGCAACCCUGAUCCAGCCAUGCCGCGUGCGGGAAGAAGGCCUUCGGGUUGUAAACCGCUUUUAUUCGGGAAGAAGGAGUGCUGGUUAAUACCCGGCAUGACGGACGGUACUGGAUGAAUAAGCACCGGCUAACUACGUGCCAGCAGCCGCGGUAAUACGUAGGGUGCGAGCGUUAAUCGGAAUUACUGGGCGUAAAGCGUGCGUAGGCGGUUGGCAAAGUCAGCUGUGAAAGCCCCGGGCUCAACCUGGGAAUUGCGGUUGAAACUAGUCGACUAGAAUCUGGCAGAGGGGGGGUG
rnacentral:rRNA from 1 species